GAGUGAGAACUUCAGCGAUCACUAUAAAGCAAAACAAAUGCGAAGUUUACAAAGGGGGUGUGGAGAAGGCAGGUCCCCAAAUAAAGAAGUUGGCAGGGACUCAAAUGCCUGGGAUUAUGAGAGAAGUGGAACACACACACGCAAAACCUCAGGGCAAGAGGUGUCAAGUCAGCUGUAUUUUACACAGGGUUCCUGGAACCAAUGUGAUGGAAUGGCUGAAUACAGAGUUCAAACAGAGGUUGAAAUGUGAGCAGUGCUGGAAGUCAACAGACAUGUCUGUGCAAGCCCAGCUACUCUUUAUCAUCACUACUUUCCACAAGAGAUCCUUUGGUCUCCAUUGUGUCAUUUGUGGUGUUCAUGCUAGAAAAUAUAAUCCAAUCCAGUGAUUAGGUGCAUAGAAUUUCUAAGGCUGGUUCUGGUUUUGCUACAAUUAAAACAUGCAGAGCUUUGAGAAAGUCAA